CCGGUCCGUGCCCAGUGGCGAAAUCUCGCUGGGGCCUCCAAAUAUUGUAUCUAAGCAAGGUAGAAGGAAAGCGCCAUGCUCUGAGUUCCAAAUUAAGAGUCCUUUAUUAA
rnacentral:pre_miRNA from 13 species